UCGGCACGUCUCUCAAAACUCCAGAAAACCGGAUCUAUUUCUCUUUUUCUGUCUAUCUCUCUCGGAGCGACAGAAAAAAUUGUGCAAACGGGAAAAAAACAGAAGACCAGAAGCGAAGACGAGGCGGAAAUGACGGGUUUUUGUCUCCCAGCUUGCUUGCUGCCUGUCAAUGUCUCUCAAUGACUGUCGCAAUCGUUCCGGCUUUGUGUAUAUGUUCCAGCGACGAACGUGCCCAGCGUCGCGAUCGGUGAUGAACGAUGGAUCACCGUUCGCGCGGUCGCCGAACAGGAUGGAGACGUCGAACAGCUCUAAAAAUACCCGUGCUACAAAUCAAGCGGCCUCCACGAGUCUUCGCAGCGUCGGCUGCUGCCAUAGCAGUGGCUAUGACGGCACAUCCCGUUAAAGAACAGAGCCAUCACUUGCUGCUGAGCAACAGAAAAGGACUGACUGGCUGCGGGUCGCGCGCAGGGGUUGCUGCAGGCCAAGCCCGAGCUUCAAGCGUACGUCUUAAGUGGCUGAGGCAGCGGCGGCCAUCGUAUGGUUGUGAGACGGUGAUGAUGAUGGUAAAAAGUUUUCGUGUUGAUUUCGACAUUGAUGUAAAUGCAGGCACAAAAGUGUUGAUGUCUGUGUGGUUAUGACGAUGUUCGAGAACCUGCAGAUGUUUUGAUGAUGGUUGACGCGAGACUUAAAGUUGAACGCCAGCCCGCCUCCCGCUGGCCAGUUGCGUCAGGUAAUUUGCGGGUAAUGGUAUCCUAAAAUGUUGUUUUUAGCUUGUUAAGAUAUCCAUGGUGGUAUUGAUGAAAGAGACUUCUUCUACUUCUGGUGCUCAUUGGAUACGGGUGUAUGCCAUAAAGUAAAAGCAUACUGAAGCCACGCGGACCGCUCAGUUGCAACUUAAAGGAAAUAACGAGGCAAUAGCAUAUAUCUUCUUGUAACGGCACGAAGGUAUCAGUUUGUAUAUGCAUGUGCUAGAUAUAAGACUGAAUCGUUUUACUGGUACAUACACACUUCGGAACGUGACAUAACGUUUAAGCGUCACAACGAAAAUACAAAGAAAUAGCUGUAACAGAUUGAAGUUAGUUAUUAUCGAAGAGUCUGUCGAGAGCUGUAGGACAAGAACGGAACGUCGGAAGAACGGAAAAAAAUAAUCAUAAUACAAGCUUGCAGGACCGUUUCGACGGAAAAAUUAUCUUCUGUACUUUCGAAAAAUCGUCCCUGCGAUCGGCGUGAGCGGACAGCAGAUUAUCUCAACAGAAAAACAGCUUAAAAAUUUAUUUCGAUUACGAAACUCAAACGUUGCCAAUAGAACACAGGGAUCUGCAAAGGUCUUCUUUAUCAAUUUGUUAUUUUUUAAGACGAUUUUGUUAUCUUUCAUUGCUGUUGACAUUACGUAUUUGCGGCAUCGUCGUUUAUAUGGUAUGAUUAUGUGUGGUUAGCCAGUUUAAAUACAUAUUGCGUCAAGUUCUACCGCUCGCUGAAACGUCAUACGACGUACGCUCCAGUAUUGUACUGGAUGUUUUUAUUACCUAAAUAUUCUGGUUGAUGUUACUUAAGCAUGACAUCAUGACAUAAACAUGUCCAGGAAAUGCGUCAGUGAAUGCAGAGAGCUCUCAGUACGCGUACGAUAAGACGCCAUCAUUGAUCAGCUUCGUAACCGUGACUUCUUAUCAGUUCUGUAUUAUAGCUUGACUUAAAAUCAAAGGGGUACUACGUUACGUCGUUGUCUAUGAAGCCCCACAAAAAGGUCGUCCUUCCCCAGCAAUUAAAUCGACGUGCCUGAAGACGAAGAUAGGCAGCUGUCUAGAGUCCGGGUUAUUCACCAUACGUUAAUUUUUAACUAUAUCGUAUAUUAACAGAUUUUAGCAGUUAGCUUUCAUUUCCCUUUGCAUAGUUAUUUCCUCAAUGUUUAGUAUGUUACGUAUAUCAAUAUAUACAUCCAUAUAUAUAUAUAUAGGGAGAUGCUAGGACUUCUGUAAUGUGAUUCAUAUUGCAACAUUGUCUAAUCAUUUGAGUAGUGGUGUUUAGCAUUAUGGAAAUAUAUAAUCGCCAGAAGAAUAUAUGGAAAACAAUUAUAGUACGGAAAUUCCUAUUCACGUUGAAGAUAAUAUUGUUUAAUUACACAUAUAUGCCCUAUAUCAGUGCAGCGCGAUCAAUCAUUAGUGAUGAUGAUGAUGAUGCUGAUGAUAGGCUAAACUUUACUUAAAGGCAGUGGAUUACAGAGCAGCGGCCAUACCAUUAUGUUUGAGCAUCCCUCGAGGGAACAAAUUAUGUCGUAUCAACCUCAAAGUGGAGCUGAAUAAUGCUUGUGCUGUUACACCAGUGAUUACACUGCGCCUUCCAAGCCGGAAGAUAGUCGUUCGGGCUGUGCAGGCCGCCUCCGCCUCCUCCUCCUCUUUAGGGGAGCAUGUGUACAUCGCUACAAAUCAUCCAUUGUGGAUAUAUACAUUCCUUCAUUAGAAGUGGCCUUCGACUCGAACGUUGGCAACGUUACUCAUCCCGUAGUAGCUACGGUACAAUUUUAAAUGGGUCCAGACGAUACCGAAAUACGUUUCGAUGACAAACUUUUGUCGGACAAGUGACAACAAUGAGCGAAUGCAGGAAUACAAAGUCUGAUUUUCGUAUUUAGGUAAAGUUAGGUUUGUCGCUUUUCCUGUAACGGCAGUACGAAAAAACCUUGUCGAUCAUGCUGAUUUCUCGAUGGGAGGAGAGUACGAGCGUCGAGACUAUCAGCGUAACAGCGACUAGUAGUGCCAUUAUGAUGCGGUCUCUGAGUUUGUACUGAGCACUCUAAAUUUCUACCUAUCGUUCAUUCGUCCUUAAAUUGUGCUUCAGUACAAAACUAGCCGAUUUUCCGCUACGUCAAGGCUGUUCCGUACUUUAAAGAUAAACCUCAAUUUGUCGAGAGCUAUUAUAUUAUAGCCACGAAUGACAGCUUUGGUCAAUUUGUACAAGUGUUGAAUCAUUGAAGUGUACAGCUUUCUGCUCUUUACUGGCUUACCGGAAGGCUAUUGCAACGAGUGUUCGAAAUUGUCUCUUGGACUUUAUGGAAAUAAACACAAAUUUAUAUAUAUAUAUUAGUCAAAGGUCAGUCAUCUGUGUUCGCCCGUUGACUUGCUUUCGAUUAUUAGUUUAGUAUAAAAAAAUAUGGCAAUAUCUAACGCACAGUUUCGCCUUGAUUUACCUUCGUACUCGUACGUUCAGGCUUGAAUUGACAGAAAUUCAACUAUGAGAUAACUACAGAUUUACUUGCCGUUCGGACGCAAACUAAAAUUUGUGUAAUCUGUUACGUGAGAUUGCUGGGUAUAUACAACUGAAGUUGGAAAAUCGACAAGCUUCGACAAGGACGAUGACAUUUUGACCGAUCAAAAACCGAUGGAAUCUUGUGUGAUUAACAGGCUGGCAAGCAGGAAAAGUACGCAUCAAAUCUUCUUAAACACCGCUCGCGUCUACAUGUUAUAAAGGCAGGAUUAAGGGAGCUAAUUUCAGAUGCGGUGGUCGAUGUAUCCGAUACAAUAUCAACCAUUCUUCGUUGGAGUACUUCGCCAGUCGAACAGUCGGUAGCCCAGACGAUGGCGCACGCUUCCCUGAUGGCCCUUCUUACUGUAUAAUAUAAUAUUCUAGUUUCUGCAAUCAAGUUCGAAAUUUUUUCAUCGA